rnacentral:lncRNA from 1 species
AAUAUGUUUUUUUGUAUGUCUCCUCCUAAUGCUUUGGUUGUGCUGCCUUAACCAGAAUUCUUGUUGUCGAUCUUGAUAUCCCUCUUGAAAGUGCAUAUACAUUUUCCGUGCAAGAAAAUAUAUUGCAUCAAAUAUAGUCCAAUAUUUAGGAUGUUUGUCCUUGAACUUUAUUUAUUAUAUGUUACGACCCUAAACCGUACCCGACCGUGAUGGCGCCUAUCAUGAAACAAGGCCAGCCGACACAAACCCCAAAUACAGAAACAACAUAGCACGACAUCGGGGUGUCACUAGUCAUGAGCAUCUAAACAUCCGACUAAUAGUAUGAAAAAGGAAUACACAGUGUAUUAAAUCUAUUAACAUAAAGUAAAGAUAGUAAGGAGAAGCACUGUGCUAGGAACGCCGAACAACUACCUAGUGAACUCCAAACAGCCUGUUGGAAGCAAUUAGCCCUCGCUAGCGUGACUUGAGACAAUUGAAUCUGCACACAAGGUGCAUGGAGCAAUGUGAGUACACCAACUCAGUAAGUAAUAAAAGUAAAGGCACUUGAGCAAUAAGAAACAAGUAAAACACAUCAGAAUGCUACAACGAGGCAGUGUAAAACCAGAACAAUACAAUAAAACAGUAAAAAGCUCGUAAAAUCUUCUUAGUCCAGUAAAACCUCUUUAAAACAUCUUUUAGUAGUUCAAAUGAGUGAAUAAAAACAUGGAGUAAAUAUAGAAACCAACAGAACCAAUCCCUUGAGCUAUCUCAAAAUCACUCGUAUCAGCCCAUCGGGCAAUAACAUGGUAUGACAUCAUCCCCUCGGGCUAUAUCAUAUCAUAAACUGGGUACCCACACUCACUAGGAGUGUAGAGUCUCCAGGAGGGUCCCCUUAUGACCCAAGCACAAUAUCAAGCCAUCCCGUAGCAUAACCAAUAUGCUCUCAGCCUCAUAUCAAGCCUCUUCAUAGUGUAACAACUCAGACCCUUGGCCUCAUAAUCAUAAAUCAGUAUGAAACUGCUGCGGCGCACAGCUCGGUCUGUAAUAAUCCUCACAAAACAGGCCCUCGGCCCUCCUCAGUCAGAAAUCUCUAAAAGCCACUCGGGCACAGUAAAACAUAAUGCUUAGCCCAAAAUAUCAUUUAAGAUGCCAAAACAAAGUAGAUAUGGUUGAGUUAUGAAAACAGCAUAACACAACAUGACUGAGUACGAAUAUGAAGUCAAAACAGUUAGAAAUAGUAGUAAAAAUCCCCUAAGGGUCCAAAACAGUUGGCAUGAGGCCCAAAGGCAUUCAGCCCAAAAUAUGAUGAUAGCAAAAUGUUUUAUAUCAAAUACGCGGUAAAACAGUCAUACGGGAUGGACUAAGUCACAAUCCCUAAUGAUGCACGACUCUACACUCAUCAUCUAGCAUGUGCGUCACCUCACAAUAGCACAACGAUAUGAAAUCCGAGAUUUCAUACCCUCAGGACAACAUUUACAAUCAUUACUUACCUCUAUCCGGUCCAAACUCUAGCUCACGAUGCCCUUGCCUCUUGUCUUGGCCUCAACUCACGUCGAAUUUACCCAAAAUCAUAAUCAUGACAUCAAAAUAUGCUGUGGAAUUGAAGCCCAUGCAAAAAUAAUCAAAUUACAAUAUAAAUCCUGAAAUUAACCGAACCCGACCCCUAGGCCCACAUCUCGGAAUUCGACAAAUUUUAAAUCAAUAGAUCCCUUAUUUUGCCACGAGAUCAUUCAUACCAAAAGUACCAAAAUCAGACCUCAAAUAGCCCCUCCAAUCCUUAAUCAAAGGUCUCCGAUCUCAAGUCCUCGUUUCUUCAAUAUUUGCCCAUAAAUUUCCAAAAUUUUCAAGCCUAAUCAAUGAAAUAAUACCAUAGGAAUGCGUUUUAUGUUCAAAAACCUUAUGUCAAUGAAGUUCCCUUGGAUUCCCUCUUCAAAAUCCCCCAAAAAUCUCCAAAAUCGAUUUAAAAUAGUGAAGAAUUCUGAAAAUCACGAAGGAUGGAAUAUAUACUUUAUGACCCAGGGAUUCCGCACCUGCGGUCAUUUCCCGCUUCUGCGGUCAAAUCCACCGCACCUGUAGUUUUCAUUUAUAUGACCAUUUUUGCAUCUGUGAUGCUAUGCCCGCACCAGCGCUAUCACAUGUGCGCUCCCUUAGCCGCUUUCUGCGGUUCCAGCUAAUUCUCCCUUGGCCGCUUCUGCGGCUUGCUUCUGCAUCUGCGAGAGUCGUACCUGCAGCCUCCCAACCGCAGAUGCGGUUAUGACAGCAGCCAUAAUAUUUCAGCUGCAAACUCCCAAUUUCUAAUUUUUUGUCAAACAUCCGAAAUCACCCCGAGGCCCCAGGUGUCGUGCCCCCUUCCUCCCCCCCUUCUUUUAUGGGGAAGUAAAUGUCCGGGUUUCAACAUUUAUGGUGGUAAUAACUUGUUUUCUUUUGGAAAUUGGGUAUUUUGAAGAGUCGCCAGUUAAUGCAUUACGUUGCGUUAGGGCACCUAGAGCAAUUAAUUAUUGGAUUGGUUUGUACUACUAGAGAUUUAGAGUAAGGAAUCGAAAUAAACUUGAGAGGAAGGUGUUAGGCACCUCUCUUGGUCCACAACUAUGGGUACCAGCCGAACUUAUAUUUAUGAAUUAGUCCUUUAGCAAAUAAGUAGUUGAAACAAAUAAUUGCAAAUAAAACAUGUUUGACUUUGUGUGACUCAAAUAAUAAGACAAAAAAUUUGAACGAGUUGUGUGCAUAAAAAAAGAAAGUAAAGUUUUUAAUUGAAGUCAAUUUGGGAAAGAGGGGUCCUAGGUUGGUUAGCCUACAAGAUCAUCCAACGCAAUGCCUGGUAAAUACUCCUCAAUGAGGGGCUACACGUGACAUUAACGUGUAGUGAUCAUAUCCCGUUCUACCUAAGUCCCUCUGUUUGGUAAUAGCCUAAAGAAUUCUAAUAACCUUGACAAUGCCUAUGCGUGCACUACUCGUCCCUUUCUUGUGGCCCGGGAGGUAUUUUAGGACCUCUAAAUCUAGGCGACUUGGGAAAACACAUAGGACUAAACAGCUAAAUACAGAAAGAAACAGUUAAGAGGCCCAUGUUAACCUUGACAAGUAAUGCACAUAAGCAGCAUGUCUUAAGCAAACACAAUAUCAGUUUUUAUUAGAGAAAAGACCUAAACAUGACAUUUAAGUGGGUGUCAAUGCACAGAAAUAUGCAACUUUGUUUUUAUAAACUCGAUAGUAUGGUCCUAAUCAGCUUACCUACUGAUUUUAAACUUUUAAAAUCUGGAAAACUUAAGAAAGAAAAAAAAUACAGUUAUCAGAGUAUAAGAAUUUAGAAUCGCCGCAUAGGCUAGCCUAAACGCAGAAUGGUGAUGUCCUAAGAGCAUGCUAAUUACGUUUGAUGUGGUUAAAUAAUGAGUAGUUUUUAAAACAAACUCUCGAGUUCCUAUAGGCAUGCUUUCUGGAAGUAGUGAAUCAAGGCAAUGUUUAAAAGAUUGAUUAAAGAAGCGGACAAUUGACUAUGCCAAUUUCAUAUGAAAUAACACGAAGUGGACUGACUUGUGUAACUAAAUUUACUUUAAGUUCUAUAGGCAGGAUUUCUGAUUUUUAAUUCCAAUAGGCAUGAUAUCUAAUCGUUAUGAACUGAUGUUAGAAACUUAUAGGCAUGAUAUCUACUAAAACUAAUGUAAAUACAUGAUGUAACAGAAACUAAACCCGAUCAUAUUUUAUAAGUAUGGUAUCUACUUAUGAAGUUGAUUUUUAAACCUAUAGACAUGAUUUUUAUUAUUUGAAUGACUUAAACCCUAUAAGCAUGAUUUCUAUUAUUGUAAGGCAAACAUAACAAAUAUAUUAAUAGGAUCCUAUAUGCAUGGUAAUGCUGACAUAGCAAGUAUAAAAUCCUACAGGCAUAGUUUCUACCUAUAUUACCCCCACAGAUAUGUAACAACCCACCCAUUUUCACAAAUCACCCCAAUAUUCGUUUACAAAUAAUUAUUACAAAGCAGAUGAAUAAAUUACAUAAAUAGAUAAAAGAAAAAGAAUAAAUUACCCUAUAGGGAGCCUGAAGCAGGCCCAAGUUAUUUCCCAAACCUCCACUAGCCUCAAAUGCCAAAUUCCAUAGACAAUAUUAUUGUCUAGGUGCGUCAGAGUUCCUUAAAGAUCUCAAGAUCCUGGGCAGUGCUCACACUUAGACUUUAUGACCAAAACUAAAUAAGUACAAUAUAGAAGAGCCAGCUCAAGUGCAUCAGAGUUCAGAGGGGAUCUCAUAGGGAUCUCAUGGCAGUCACACACUGGAGGGCCAGAACUUAAGGAUCUAAGAGUAGAGUGGGGUACUUAACAUAGUUUGAAAGGGUUUUAGUAAGAAAACAGUGUUUAGAGAGACUUGUUUGAAAUAGUUUUGUGAAAACAACAUAUGGAGUUAUUCAAUAAGACAAUUUGAAGCAAAAGGUAAGGUGAUCAACAAACAACAAACCAAACACAGAACCAGAAGAGGUUCAUCAGCACUCCAAGACACAGAAUCAAAUAUGUACAAAAAUUCACUCAGGGGGUAAUAGGGGAUCCGGGGCAAGUAUAGGGCACAUAGUAGGCAAAGAUACACAAAGGUACCGAAUCAGAGAAGUCCUGAAAGGGUUAAAAGGAUUAAGGUACAACAUGAACUUCAGAAUUAAUACAGAAUCAGAGAGGCUUAGGAUAGCCAACUACUUUUACACAGGAAGGUGCAUGCCAAAAAUCAGAGAAACAUAAGUAAAGAAUAGUCACAUUAGGGGUAUAGUAGGAAAGGAUUCAUGAGCAUGCUAAUUCAGAAGCACACAGUAAAGAAGACAGUGAAGUAGACAUGUUAGUUGCAGGUUGAAGAAUAAAACCAUAGACAGAAGCAUAUUAGAAACAUGACAAACUGAAGUAGUAGAAGAAGCAUAUUGUUUUUGAAACUGGAAUCGAAAUCAGCACAUGCCAGUGAAGAAAAACAGCAAGCACAAAGUGAGAGAACCCAAUUGUUAGCCUUGGCUUGCAGCAGGCUAACUUAGAACAGUAGUAAGUAACACAAAAGAGAGCAGAACAAUUUGAGCGUAAAAGAGAGUUUUGAACCAAAAUGUGUUCGUGUCUUGAUUGUUAAUGAGAGAGCAUAUAUAUAGUAGUUCUAAACUAAGUCAAACAAUGGAAGAAUCACAAUUGUACAGUAAUUAUGGAACUUAGAACCAAUUAGAGAAAAAUUAGUACAAGUACUCCCUUAAUUAAAGGAAUCAGUUCAAAUGGUAAAUACAAGUAUCAAAUAAGGAAAGAAAUCAAUGUGUAACUGGAGCAUAACAGACAAGGAAAUAAUUCAAACAUAAUAUGCAUAGAAAAAACAAAUAGGUCUAGGUUCAGAAAAACUAUAAUUAAGGAGAUAGUCAGUAAGAAUCAAGUACCAAUACAAAUAAGGUAAGCAAAUCAAUAUUGAGUAGAAAGGUAGGAAUCAAAUGUUUAAUGGAAAGUGUUUGAAGCAGACCAAGAAACAGGGAAUUCAGAAUCAAUAGAAGAAAAAUUCACGAGUCGGUGUUUAGCAUAUAAAUAAAUUAAUACAUGGAUGGUCAAGAGUCGACAUGCAACUCUAGCAAACUUGAAAGUUAAAUAAUACCCAUUCGGUGAGAAAAAUGUAGGCCUUGAUGUGAAUAGUCAAGAUGAACAUAAGCAUAUAGAAUCACUGUAAAUUCAGGCUAAGAAACUCAGUAGAAACAUAUCAAGGGAAUAUAUGCAUGAGAAAUCACAGAAACUCAAAAAUGAGAACUGGUUAGUCAUGCUGAUACACUGAAAAAAAUGAAGAACCCUAAAAAUUUAAGGCUUUCAACAUAGAUGAGUUAAAGAUGUAGUAAACUAAUAGAAUCAGUCAAAAUAUAUAGAAAUAGAAAUUUAAACACAAAGAAUCAGUUAAACAAGGUUUUAAAAAGAAGUUACAAAAACCCUAGUUUUAGAAAAAAGAUAAAAAAUACUUGAAAUCACAUGAUUCUUGUAAAGAACCUCAAGGACAGUGUAAAACAUUCAAGAAACAAACUCAAAUCGUCUUAGAUCCGAAUAGAUCUAGGAGGUAUAGAAAAAAAAUUACGGUUUCGGAAAAAACCAUAUAGAGAUGAAGAAACCUGUCCAGAAACUCAAAGAUCGUAACAAAUAUAGAAUGAUUUAGCUUGAAAUCACACUAGAAUAGCCAAGAACAAUAAGAGAAGAACCCUAGAUGCAAGUCAGCAUGGCCCUGGGCCUUUGAAGACCUUAAAGAACCAAGCAUGGCAUGAGAGAAGCCAUUGGAGGAUUAAGAGACAAUGAGAGUUCACCGGAGAUGACGGGAGAUAGGAGGUUGAUUAUUGAAGAUUAAGGUUAGGUUGAGAGUGUUUUGACAGCAGAGAGGAUUUAAUAGAGGCGG